GAUGAACGCUGGCGGCGUGCCUAGUACAUGCAAGUCGAGCGAACGGACGAGAAGCUUGCUUCUCUGAUGUUAGCGGCGGACGGGCGAGUAACACGUGGAUAACCUCCCUCUAAGACUGGGAUAACUUCGGGAAACCGGAGCUAAUACCGGAUAAUAUUUUGAACCCAAUGGUUCAAAAGUGAAAGACGGUCUUGCUGUCACUUAUAGAUGAAUCCGCGCUGCAUUAGCUAGUUGGUAAGGUAACGGCUUACCAAGGCAACGAUGCAUAGCCGACCUGAGAGGGUGAUCGGCCACACUGGAACUGAGACACGGUCCAGACUCCUACGGGAGGCAGCGGUAGGGAAUCUUCCGCAAUGGGCGAAAGCCUGACGGAGCAACGCCGCGUGAGUGAUGAAGGUCUUCGGAUCGUAAAACUCUGUUAUUAGGGAAGAACAUAUGUGUAAGUAACUGUGCACAUCUUGACGGUACCUAAUCAGAAAGCCACGGCUAACUACGUG
rnacentral:rRNA from 1 species